rnacentral:ncRNA from 1 species
UCUUAUCCAGAGAGGCGGAGGGACUGGCCCUUUGAUGCCCGGCAACCAUCGGAUCGUCAUGAUUCGAACGGUGCCAAUUCCUGCAGGAUGAAUGAUCCUGAAAGAUGAGA